CCUACGGGGGGCAGCAGUAAGGGAUAUUGGUCAAUGGGGGAAACCCUGAACCAGCAACGCCGCGUGCGGGAUGACGGUUUUCGGAUUGUAAACCUCUGUCCUCUGUGAAGAUGAUGACGGUAGCAGAGGAGGAAGCUCCGGCUAACUACGUGCCAGCAGCCGCGGUAAUACGUAGGGCGCGAGCGGUGUCCGGAUUUACUGGGUGGAAAGGGUGCGGGGGCGGUUUGGCAAGUAAGUAGUGAAAUCCAUGGGCUUAACCCAUGAACGGCUAUUGAUACUGUCGAUCUUGAGUGAAGUAGAGGUAGGCGGAAUUCCCGGUGUAGCGGUGAAAUGCGUAGAGAUCGGGAGGAACACCAGUGGCGAAGGCGGCCUACUGGGCUUUAACUGACGCUGAGGCACGAAAGCGUGGGGAGCAAACAGGAUUAGAGACCCUGGUAGUC
rnacentral:rRNA from 1 species